rnacentral:rRNA from 1 species
UACGUAGGGGGCAAGCGUUGUCCGGAUUUAUUGGGCGUAAAGAGCGUAUAGGCGGCCAUACAGGUCCGUUGUGAAAACUGGAGGCUUAACCUCCAGACGUCGAUGGAAACCGUAUGGCUAGAGUCCGGAAGAGGAGAGUGGAAUUCCUGGUGUAGCGGUGAAAUGCGCAGAUAUCAGGAAGAACACCCGUGGCGAAGGCGGCUCUCUGGGACGGUACUGACGCUGAGACGCGAAAGCGUGGGGAGCGAACAGG